UGCCGAAAAUUACGGGCUAUGGACUUGGAUAAAUUGUUGAAAAUCACAUUUUUACAGACUUUUUUUCUAAGUGCCUUCAGAUAUUGGGCUGAUUUUUGGUAUGUGAGUUAACCAUGAUGAGUUACAGGUCAAGUUUGAAUAUCGUUUUGCUCCACUAAAUUUUGCUGUAAUUUCAGGCUUUGGACUUUGAUAAAUUUUUGAAAAUCACAGUUAUACGACCUUUUUUUCUAAAUGGCUCCAGAUAUUGGGCUGAUUUUUGGUAUGUGAGCUUACCGUGAUGAGUUACAGAUCAAGUUAAAGUCUCGUUCCGCUCCUUUAAUGAUUGCCAAAAUUAAGGGUUUACAACUUUGAAAAUUGUUGAAAAUCACUUUGAUAGUUAAUAUGAUAUUCACACUUUUUUUCUUUACAUCUCCAGAUUUUGAGCUGAUUUUUGAGAGAUGGUGAGACUACCAUUUUGUUUGUGUCCACAUGUGCUAUUGAAAUUGCAGAUUUUUCUUCUUUUUUUUUUGAGACGGGGACAUUCGUGUCGCUUUGACACAUCUAGUUGUAUUUGUAUAUUCCAAAAUCAGUCAAAGUAGUGAACAAGUACAUGUAUAUGUUAACAUGCAUAAGAUAGAUUUGUAUCUGACAUGGCUCACAUAAAAAUGUAAUAUCCGUCCUAGAUAUAAC
rnacentral:lncRNA from 1 species